rnacentral:rRNA from 1 species
GACGAACGCUGGCGGCGUGCUUAACACAUGCAAGUCGAACGGGAUUUAGUAGACAGAAGCCUCGGCUAAAGAUUACUAAUGAGAGUGGCGAACGGGUGAGUAACGCGUGAGCAACCUGCCUAUGACAGUGGGAUAGCCUCGGGAAACCGGGAUUAAUACCGCAUAAAAUCGUAGAAACACAUGUUUCAACGGUCAAAGAUUUAUCGGUCAUAGAUGGGCUCGCGUCUGAUUAGCUAGUUGGUGAGAUAACAGCCCACCAAGGCGACGAUCAGUAGCCGGUCUGAGAGGAUGAACGGCCACAUUGGAACUGAGACACGGUCCAAACUCCUACGGGAGGCAGCAGUGGGGAAUAUUGCACAAUGGGGGAAACCCUGAUGCAGCGACGCCGCGUGAACGAAGAAGGUAUUCGUAUCGUAAAGUUCUGUCCUAUGGGAAGAUAAUGACAGUACUAUAGAAGAAAGCUCCGGCUAAAUACGUG